CAGCCGCCGCGGUAAUACAGAGGAUGCAAGCGUUAUCCGGAAUUAUUGGGCGUAAAGGGCUCGCAGGCGGUUUCUUAAGUCUGAUGUGAAAGCCCCCGGCUCAACCGGGGAGGGUCAUUGGAAACUGGGAAACUUGAGUGCAGAAGAGGAGAGUGGAAUUCCACGUGUAGCAGUGAAAUGCGUAGAUAUGCGGAGGAACACCAAUGGCGAAGGCAAUCCCCUGGGCCUGCACUGACGCUCAGCACGAAAGCGUGGGGGGCAAACAGGAUUAGAGACCCGUGUAGUCCCUGUCUCUUAUACA
rnacentral:rRNA from 1 species